rnacentral:rRNA from 1 species
AACGAACGCUGGCGGCAGGCUUAACACAUGCAAGUCGAGCGCCCCGCAAGGGGAGCGGCAGACGGGUGAGUAACGCGUGGGAAUCUACCCAUCUCUACGGAAUAACGCAUGGAAACGUGUGCUAAUAACGUAUACGUCCUUCGGGAGAAAGAUUUAUCGGAGAUGGAUGAGCCCGCGCUGGAUUAGCUAGUUGGUGGGGUAAAGGCCUACCAAGGCGACGAUCCAUAGUUGGUCUGAGAGGAUGAUCAGCCACACUGGGACUGAGACACGGCCCAGACUCCUACGGGAGGCAGCAGUGGGGAAUAUUGGACAAUGGGCGCAAGCCUGAUCCAGCCAUGCCGCGUGAGUGAUGAAGGCCCUAGGGUUGUAAAGCUCUUUCACCGGUGAAGAUAAUGACGGUAACCGGAGAAGAAGCCCCGGCUAACUUCGUGCCAGCCGCCGCCGUAAUAC